rnacentral:rRNA from 1 species
AGGUGAAAUUNUUGGAUCGUCGCAAGACGGACUAAAGCGAAAGCAUUUGCCAAAGGUGUUUUCAUUAAUCAAGAACGAAAGUUAGAGGUUCGAAGGCGAUUAGAUACCGCUGUAGUUCUAACCAUAAAUGAUGCCAGCCAGCGAUCCGCCGAAGUUUCAUAAUUUUAACCCGGUGGGCAGCUCCCGGGAAACCAAAGCUUUCGGGCUCCGGGGGGAGUAUGGUUGCAAAGCUGAAACUNAAAGGAAAAU